UUAGAGUUUUGAUCCUGGCUCAGGAUGAACGCUGGCGGCGUGCCUAAUACAUGCAAGUCGAGCGAACGGACGAGAAGCUUGCUUCUCUGAUGUUAGCGGCGGACGGGUGAGUAACACGUGGAUAACCUACCUAUAAGACUGGGAUAACUUCGGGAAACCGGAGCUAAUACCGGAUAAUAUUUUGAACCGCAUGGUUCAAAAGUGAAAGACGGUCUUGCUGUCACUUAUAGAUGGAUCCGCGCUGCAUUAGCUAGUUGGUAAGGUAACGGCUUACCAAGGCAACGAUGCAUAGCCGACCUGAGAGGGUGAUCGGCCACACUGGAACUGAGACACGGUCCAGACUCCUACGGGAGGCAGCAGUAGGGAAUCUUCCGCAAUGGGCGAAAGCCUGACGGAGCAACGCCGCGUGAGUGAUGAAGGUCUUCGGAUCGUAAAACUCUGUUAUUAGGGAAGAACAUAUGUGUAAGGUAACUGUGCACAUCUGACGUCC
rnacentral:rRNA from 1 species